GGCUCAGAUUGAACGCGGCGGGCAUGCCUUACCAUGCAAGUCGAACGGUAACGCGGGGCAACCUGGCGACGAGUGGCGAACGGGUGAGUAAUGCAUCGGAACGUGCCCAGUAGUGGGGGAUAGCCCGGCGAAAGCCGGAUUAAUACCGCAUACGACCUACGGGUGAAAGGGGGGGAUCGCAAGACCUCUCGCUAUUGGAGCGGCCGAUGUCAGAUUAGGUUGUUGGUGAGGUAAAGGCUCACCAAGCCGACGAUCUGUAGCUGGUCUGAGAGGACGACCAGCCACACUGGGACUGAGACACGGCCCAGACUCCUACGGGAGGCAGCAGUGGGGAAUUUUGGACAAUGGGCGCAAGCCUGAUCCAGCCAUGCCGCGUGCGGGAAGAAGGCCUUCGGGUUGUAAACCGCUUUUGUCGGGGAAGAAAUCUUCUGGGCUAAUACCCCGGGAGGAUGACGGUACCCGAAGAAUAAGCACCGGCUAACUACGUGCCAGCAGCCGCGGUAAUACGUAGGGUGCAAGCGUUAAUCGGAAUUACUGGGCGUAAAGCGUGCGCAGGCGGUGAUGCAAGACAGAUGUGAAAUCCCCGGGCUUAACCUGGGAACUGCAUUUGUGACUGCAUCGCUGGAGUGCGGCAGAGGGGGAUGGAAUUCCGCGUGUAGCAGUGAAAUGCGUAGAUAUGCGGAGGAACACCGAUGGCGAAGGCAAUCCCCUGGGCCUGCACUGACGCUCAUGCACGAAAGCGUGGGGAGCAAACAGGAUUAGAUACCCUGGUAGUCCACGCCCUAAACGAUGUCAACUGGUUGUUGGACGGCUUGCUGUUCAGUAACGAAGCUAACGCGUGAAGUUGACCGCCUGGGGAGUACGGCCGCAAGGUUGAAACUCAAAG
rnacentral:rRNA from 1 species